rnacentral:rRNA from 1 species
GACGAACGCUGGCGGCGUGCCUAAUACAUGCAAGUCGAACGAACGGAUUGAGGAGCUUGCUCUUCAUGAAGUUAGUGGCGGACGGGUGAGUAACACGUGGGUAACCUGCCCUUCAGUGGGGGAUAACAUCCGGAAACGGGUGCUAAUACCGCAUAGUUUCUUUUUCCGCCUGGAAGAAGAAGGAAAGAUGGCCUUUGCGCUAUCACUGAGGGAUGGACCCGCGGCGUAUUAGUUAGUUGGUGGGGUAAUGGCCUACCAAGACGAUGAUACGUAGCCGACCUGAGAGGGUGAUCGGCCACAUUGGGACUGAGACACGGCCCAA